rnacentral:rRNA from 1 species
GACGAACGCUGGCGGCGUGCUUAACACAUGCAAGUCGAACGGUGAUGCUCCAGCUUGCUGGAGCGGAUCAGUGGCGAACGGGUGAGUAACACGUGAGCAACCUGCCCCAGACUCUGGAAUAAGCGCUGGAAACGGCGUCUAAUACUGGAUACGAAACUGGCCCGCAUGGGCAUGGUUUGGAAAGUUUUUCGGUUUGGGAUGGGCUCGCGGCCUAUCAGCUUGUUGGUGAGGUAAUGGCUCACCAAGGCGACGACGGGUAGCCGGCCUGAGAGGGCGACCGGCCACACUGGGACUGAGACACGGCCCAGACUCCUACGGGAGGCAGCAGUGGGGAAUAUUGCACAAUGGGCGAAAGCCUGAUGCAGCGACGCCGCGUGAGGGAUGACGGCCUUCGGGUUGUAAACCUCUUUCAGCAGGGAAGAAGCGAAAGUGACGGUACCUGCAGAAGAAGCACCGGCUAACUACGUG